CAGGCAAAUAGGACCUAAUUUUAACUCUAGUUUGAAAAUAUCUAAUUCCUUAGUUUAUUCGAUUUGACUAGUUUGACUUUCUUCACCAGCUAACCAGUUGCUUACUUUGCCUAUCUGCCGUUUGGUGCUGGGCAGUUAGCGUACAUUGGAUUAUUUGAGCUUUUUUCAGCCACCUGCUGCUGCUGGAAAUGAAGGUUGAUGAGAACGUCGGUGACACUCAAAUUAACAGUGAAUAUGUGGCUGUAAAUCAAAAACCAAUGAGCUAAAAGAGGAUAAAAAGGAGCUUUUGACACCAGGUGACAAAGCAGGAGUAAGUAUCGAUUUUCUACAUGUUUAUGCUUGUUGAACAGGUGGUUUGAUAAAAUACAUAUUGGCUUUUCACUCGCAAAGAUUUCCCUGCACUUACAGUAAUGAGUGUAGUUGUCUUCAUCUCCAGUAAAACGUUAUCCUACACUUCACCUGGUUCACUGUCAGCAAAGACUCUGCCAUCUGCACACUCCGCAAGCUCUCUUAAUCAAAAUUAUGGAAACCCAUUCCCACCAGUAAAGGAAAAAAAAAACGAUGAAAAACUCUCAUGUUAAAUCAAAAUUUUGAGUUAAAAAGUCUAAAUUAUAGGAUGCUUUCACAGUCAAAGUAGCAGCUCAUUGGUGUGAGUUCUCCUAUUCAAUUUGACACAGAAAUGGAUUGUGAGUACAUGGAGGACUACUUUAAACAUGGUUUUACAACAGAUGAAAUACUUAAUUUGCUUGCUGAUUCAACUGGGAUUGUACCAUGCAAAGGCAUUGAAAAGAUUUUAAGCAAGGAGCAGCUCUGGUGCAGAAAGAAUAUAACCGAUGUGGCUGAGGUGUUAACCUUCACUGGACAGCAACUGGAAACAUCUGGUCAGUGUCAUGGUUACAGAUGGAUGCACCAAAAAAGACCUUUGGUGCAAGUACUGGAAACCAGCUGAUUGAAUGAUGAUGAUUGAUCUUGCAAAGUGAGUGUGCCCAGUUUUAGACCUAUCUGACAAACUGAGACAAGAUGGCUACUUCCAGACAACUUCUUGGACUCCUUGAUCCAGUUUUGCUUCCUUCAAAUAAUAAAGGAAGAACUUAGUCAGGAUGCAUUGACUUGGAACAACCACAUAGUCCGUCAAGUCCACAACUCAUGAUCGAUCACCUCAUGAAUAUCCCUCCAUAUUGCAUGCAGUCCCUCACCUGUAUGGAGGCAGAGAUUGUUUGCACCAUGUGGACCUGGGGCUGAUUCAAGUCUGCUUUGAAGAGUGUGUGUUCAAUGACUUCCCAUGUGAUGAAGAUGUGUUCCAUAUCUGCGUGGACCUAAUGUCAGAGUAUACUCUUAAAUUAACAAAUGAUGUGUUUGAAACAGUUAACCUGUAUAUCAAACUCAGAAAGCUGCUUAACAGUGAACUAGAUCUAGAUCAUUAACUUUACUGGGCCUAUGUCACAUUUUGUUUUUGUUUUCUCUUUCAUUCCAGAACAAAUUGAAACUUACAUACUGAUUGUAAUUGUCAAAAUUAUAAUAUAUGUUUUAACCUGUGAUGAGUGCAAAUAUAAUUGUAGCUAUUUUAGACACAUCAAAGAUGUACCAAAUAUUUUUAGUUCCUUCUAACAAAAUAUAUGUACACACAAAGUAAUUUGUUGUCCAUACGUUGACUAUUUGUAAGA